CCCUUAGAUGUUCUGGGCUGCACGCGCGCUACACUGAUACUUUCAGCGAGUCCACCACCUUGCCUGGGAAGGUGGGGUAACCUCUGGAAAGUGCAUCGUGAUGGGGAUCGAUUAUUGUAAUUAUUAAUCUUCAACGAGGAAUUCCUAGUAAGCAUGUGUCAUCAGCCCGUGCUGAUUACGUCCCUGCCCUUUGUACACACCGCCCGUCGCUCCUACCGAUUGAGUGGUCCGGUGAGGCUUUGGGAUCUGAGCGGAAAGAGCGUUUCGCUGUUUCUGCCCGGAAAACUCAGUCGAACCUUAUCAUUUAGAGGAAGGAGAAGUCGUAACA
rnacentral:rRNA from 1 species